rnacentral:lncRNA from 1 species
AUGGACCAGAAACUCAAAAAGUUUGCUUUUCGUCGCCUUUCGCGCUCCGCCCGUGACUUCCUCCGCGGCCAUCGGGGUCGGGUCUGCACUGCUCCGCCUCCCCUUCUCCUCCUCCUCCUCCUCCGUCGGUCCGUCUGUCUGCCUGCCUUCCUGCCUUCCUGGGCUCGCCGCCGCCUUCCCUUCUGCCUCCGUCCUCCCUUUCUCCUCCUCCUCCUCCUGCAACUCUGCCCGCGCGCUCCGUCUUUCUUCCCUCGGAGCCCCGCUGCGCGCUCCGCUCACACUUCUAAUAGCUCCGCCGGCCGACGGGGGAGGGGGCCCGGCAGGGCUCCCGCGACGGCCCACGGCCGGAUUCCUCCGCCGAAGCGCCGCGGCCGAGGCCGGCUGAGCCCCAGCGCCGCCCGCCGCCGCUCCUUGCCGCGUCCCCGCGCAGCCUCGCCCGGCUCUCCGCCUGCCCGUCCCCGGCGGCCGCGCAACGCCUCGCCGCCGCGCCCCUCCUCGCGCCGCUUCCAGGCCGCAUCCCCCGGGACCCUCCAGGCGGCCCGGCUACCGAGGGAAGCGGAGGGAAGGAGCCCGCCUCCCCCCACCCGUCGGAGGCUGGACGGGGGCGGAGGAAGCGAGGAGGGGCGCGGGGAAGGCCGGGCGGCGCGGGAGACCCUCUUCCCCGAGUGCCCGCAAACCAUGACACCGGGGAGACGGCGGGGGCCCCCACACGGGAUGUCGCGGGUCCUUCCCCGCCGCCCCCCACCCGCUCCACGUCGAGCGGCCCCUGCGAGGCCGGUCUGGGUUCCCUCCUCGCAGAGACGUCCGGCGGAGGCGUCACCGUCGCCUCGUCUUCCUCCCCCCCCCCGCCUGUCGGUCACUCUCCCGUCCUGCCCUGCGUGGCGCUGGCAGGGAAUGAAGAGCCGCCGGCAUCUCCCGGUGCGCGUCUCCCUGGCAACAGAGCCAGUGUUGCCAGGUAACGGGCAGGGCGUGGUACCCAGGAGAGGCUCCUUCUGCACCCGGCGCAGCCCGAUGCGGAGUCGUGAAGAGGGAGGGAGGGAGGACCAGCGGGGGGAGGCUUCCUCCCAAUGCGUGAUGGCGGAGCGGCGUGUUCACACGUGCAGACGAGGGCGCCCGGUUGCCCCCGGGUCUCCCCCCUCCCGGCCAGGACCAGGAGAGGCGGCGGGGAGGCGAGGGAGCCCCUCCCCCGCAGGCUCUCCAGUACCCCACCGGGGGCGCGACCAAUGGAUCCCCCUGCCCAACGGGCUGCGGUGGUGGGGAACCCCCCCGGGGGAUCCCCGCCGCCCUCCUGGUCCUGCCCCCUAUGGACGGAGGGAGGGGAGGAAGGCCGAGAGGAAAGGACCGUGGCCCCUCCCCCCCAGAAUCCCGGGGCUUCACACUGACCGACCCCCCUUCUCCCCCCCCCCAGUUACCGGGCUCCUCCCGGCGGGGAGGGGGCGCGUGGGGCGCAUGCGCAGCGCUGCCUUUUUCCCCUCUCGCCGUGAAGGUCAGCCGAGCGGACUGAGGGAAAAGGGGCGGGUGUUAACUCCUUCCGCGCCGCUUCAGUGGAGCCGCGCCGCCGAGCGCAGCUCUCCCUCCCCGCCUCUCCGACAGCCGCCUCCGCCGCGCAGCAGACGCGCCGCCGACGUCGCGCCGCUUCCCCGCCCCUUCGGAGAGCGGUCGGCGGAGGAGGGAGGGAGGGAGCGGCUGUCGUUGCCACCGGCUCCGGACUCAGCGGGACUUGCCCGACGGAGGGAGCCGAAGGCGCGCGGGGCUCCCGUCUGGCCGGCCGGGGCCGCCCCAGGAAGGAACGCGAGGAGCCCCGCGCCCUCCGCACGCGCUUGCCGAGCCUUCUCCCGCCGCGGGUGCCCGAGCCCCAGUCGGGGGGCUCUCCAGCUUUCCGGGCGCGGAACGGGCCCCCCGGGCAGGAGCCAGCGAGCGAGCGCCCUUGCCGGACGUGACCCCCGACGGCGGGAGGAGCUGCUGCGGGCGCCCGCUUGA